UAUCUAUCUCCACAACCAAAGCUCGUCCGCGGGUGAAGGAAACCAACAAACCAAGCAUUCUUAGCUGAUCUUGGUUGACGGGAUUUAACUAACUUACCACCAUCAUCGCCUGCACAUCCUGCAGUCAGUGCGCGACCCUUGGACCGCUUCCAUUCACGAGUCACCGUCGCUACCAGAUCUCUUGGAUCAACGAACCUCACCCGAGCCAUGCUAGCGGCUUCGGGAUGGCACAUGCCCCCAAACCCGCUUCAAUUGUUCCUGACGAGACAACGACUCCAUCUCAGCUCCACCGCUGCUCUCCCUUGUCCUGUUCGCAGCCCCCUGAUUCUCUGCAGUUUAUCCUGCGUCAAAGACGGGGGAACCGAACUAGCUAAUUAAACUAUGCUGGCCAGGCCGCUCAGAGCGCUGGUCGCGUUUUGCUUCCUUCUUCUCACAUAUCUCUCAUUUAGCUCGUUCAGGAGAUCGUCGUAUACCAGGACACACGUCCUCCCAUCUCCCUUCGAAGCCCGUUCGCUGCAAUCCCGCCAGAUCAGAUUCUGGCACACUUUCCUGCCGAUCCUCCAGCAGAAUGCGCCAGACUGCCCGUCCCCGCAUCGAGAUCGCAAUGCGGAAGCGGUUGGCUUCAAUGCGGCCGAACCACCACCACGUCCUUCCCUGAUCUCGAUGCCAGAGGAGGAUGUGCUUAAGAUGCAACAGGCACAUACACGGUUCUUGCAACAAGUCAAGUCGUCCUCCGAUUUGAAGCCCAUUGUUAUUCCGGAAAGUCGCGGAGUGGUGUAUGCGGCGGGGGGCAGAUAUCUGCCAGUUCUCGUCUCCUCCUUGCGAAUGUUACGCCGGACCGGUUCAAACCUGCCUGUCGAACUCUUCCUCAAAGACCGUUCUGAAUACGAAAGCACCAUUUGCGACGAAGUCCUUCCCUCGCUGAACGGCCGCUGCGUUGUCCUUUCUGAUAUACUCAGCGCCACUCCUAUUCCCACAAAUGGCGAUGGCGACUCUCUUGCCAGCAAUGACAACCAAGAGCCUAAGACUGAGAUAGCGCACUACCAACUCAAAAUAUUUGCCAUGCUUUUCUCCUCCUUCGAGGAAAUUGUCUGGCUAGACGCGGACUGUUUCCCUUUACACAAGCCUGAAGAGCACCUCAACUCAAACCCCUACAAAAUGACUGGAAUGGUCACCUGGCCCGACUUCUGGAUCUCCACCGUGUCCCCCUUAUACUACAACAUAUCGCAACUACCAAUCCCAUCUAUGGGACUGCGCGCCUCGUCGGAAACCGGCCAAAUUCUCCUUUCCAAGAAGUCACACCAAAUCACCCUGCUCCUCUCCACCUACUACAACUACUACGGACCUUCACAUUACUUCCCGCUCCUCUCACAAGGUGCCCCAGGCGAAGGCGAUAAGGAAACAUUCCUCCAAGCCGCCUCUGCCGCGGGAGAGCCGUUCUACGCCACCAGCGAACCCGUCAGGGCAAUCGGACACGUGAAAGGAGACGGUGACGACAUCGCAGGUUCCGCAAUGGUCCAAUUCGACCCCUCAAACGAGUAUCGCAAUUCCCAAACCACUCUCACAAGCUCACAUAAUAAGAUGAAUAGUAACCACCGCCACAGCGACAGCAACACCAACACCAACACCACACCACUGCGCGUCUCCUUCAUCCACGCCAACUUCCCCAAAUUCAAUCCAGCCACCGUCUUCGACCAAACCCACGAGACAAAGCCCACCUACAGACCUGACGGCAGCGACGGCCGCGCAUGGGUUGUGGCGCGCGACACUCUCUCGCGCUUCGGAUAUGAUGUAGAACGCGCGUUCUGGGAGGAGAUUAUGUGGGUUGCGUGUGAGUUGGAGGGGAAAUUUAAGGCAUGGGAGGGCCG
rnacentral:sRNA from 2 species